rnacentral:rRNA from 1 species
GUGUCAGCCGCCGCGGUAAUACGGAGGGUGCAAGCGUUAUCCGGAUUCACUGGGUUUAAAGGGUGCGUAGGUGGGCAGGUAAGUCAGUGGUGAAAUCUCCGGGCUUAACCCGGAAACUGCCAUUGAUACUAUCUGUCUUGAAUACCCUGGAGGUGAGCGGAAUAUGUCAUGUAGCGGUGAAAUGCUUAGAUAUGACAUAGAACACCCAUUGCGAAGGCAGCUCACUACGGGAAUAUUGACACUGAGGCACGAAAGCGUGGGGAUCAAACAGGAUUAGAUACCCCGGUAGUCC